CUGCAGCGGAGCUACCAUGCAGUCGACGAACUCUUCGGAGUUAGUGGCGGACGGGUGAGUAACACGUGGGAACGUGCCUUUAGGUUCGGAAUAACUCAGGGAAACUUGUGCUAAUACCGAAUGUGCCCUUCGGGGGAAAGAUUUAUCGCCUUUAGAGCGGCCCGCGUCUGAUUAGCUAGUUGGUGAGGUAAAGGCUCACCAAGGCGACGAUCAGUAGCUGGUCUGAGAGGAUGAUCAGCCACAUUGGGACUGAGACACGGCCCAAACUCCUACGGGAGGCAGCAGUGGGGAAUCUUGCGCAAUGGGCGAAAGCCUGACGCAGCCAUGCCGCGUGAAUGAUGAAGGUCUUAGGAUUGUAAAAUUCUUUCACCGGGGACGAUAAUGACGGUACCCGGAGAAGAAGCCCCGGCUAACUUCGUGCCAGCAGCCGCGGUAAUACGAAGGGGGCUAGCGUUGCUCGGAAUUACUGGGCGUAAAGGGAGCGUAGGCGGACAUUUAAGUCAGGGGUGAAAUCCCGGGGCUCAACCUCGGAAUUGCCUUUGAUACUGGGUGUCUUGAGUAUGAGAGAGGUGUGUGGAACUCCGAGUGUAGAGGUGAAAUUCGUAGAUAUUCGGAAGAACACCAGUGGCGAAGGCGACACACUGGCUCAUUACUGACGCUGAGGCUCGAAAGCGUGGGGAGCAAACAGGAUUAGAUACCCUGGUAGUCCACGCCGUAAACGAUGAUUGCUAGUUGUCGGGAUGCAUGCAUUUCGGUGACGCAGCUAACGCAUUAAGCAAUCCGCCUGGGGAGUACGGUCGCAAGAUUAAAACUCAAAGGAAUUGACGGGGGCCCGCACAAGCGGUGGAGCAUGUGGGUUUAAUUCGAAGCAACGCGCAGAAACCUUACCACCUUUUGACAUGCCUGGGACCGCCAGAGAGAUCUGGCUUUCCCUUUCGAGGGACUAGGACACAGGUGCUGCAUGGCUGUCGUCAGCUCGUGUCGUGAGAUGUGGGUUAAGUCCCGCACGAGCGCAACCCUCGCCAUAGUGCAUUCAUUAGUUGGGACUCUAUGGGACUGCCGUGCUAAGCCCGAGAUGUGGGAUGACGUCAGGUCCCUCAUGCCGUAAGGUGGCUACCACACUGCUACAUGCGACUACGCAGUAUCCUAAGUCGAUCAGUCGAUCAUCUCUGUGCACUCG
rnacentral:rRNA from 1 species